UGCCUAAAUCUGCACUGGCGUACCGGUUA
rnacentral:piRNA from 1 species